CUACAACCUGGAUUAGACAAAAGAAAAAAGACACACACAAAAAAAAAAAAAACAGGAGAGAGAAAAAAGGGCAAAGGAAAUGUUAGAUGGUUAGUAAAAGAAUCAGGCUGAACAGGAACAUUUUGAUUAGUCAGAGAAGAUCCAGCACAUUAAACAGGUAGAGAAGUUCAUUAAGACAGCAGGACUUUGUACUUCUCCGUUUUAAGGUAUUUUUUCAGCUUAUAAAAAUUCUAACCUAAAGUGUGAAACCUGUCUUUUAAACCUAGAUAGGUGUACAGUGAAGCUCUGGGGUGCUUGAAGCAAAAGCAAAAAGUGUGAAAAAGCAAAUUAAAGAUGAAAAGCAAAAAAAAACAAAAAAAACAAAAAAAAAAACAUUACCAUAAAGCUGAGUUGUAUACACGUUGCAGAUACAAUCAGAGUGAACCGAAUUCUCUGAAUGCUAAUGACAAGUUUUACUGCUCAACUUAAUAUAAUCAAAAGUGAUUGAAAGAUGAUGCAAUCCUGCUGGUGUGCCUGUAAUUCUUGAUUUGUUUUUUAAAACUGCAAAAAAAUAAAACUUA